CUUUAACCAUGUACUGUGAUUUCAUGUAGAGAAAAAACAAUUUGGAUAUUUGGAGAGAUGGCAGACGGGUUUCUAUCGGCGAAAACGAAAGAUUAUUUCUUUUAAAAUUAACCCAAAAGAAAACUUGGGGCUGUUGCCAGUUCCACUGUGCGUGUGACAGCGGCUAACCUGGUUUUGGGAGUACUUCUCAUCUUUUGGCUCGUCCAAGACCAGCCACGGCCGGACUGGAAAGACACCCAUCUACAAGCACUCCUUGAUCGUGUCCCGUGCACAUUGCCUGUUCAACACGACCGCUCUCCCAGCGGUCUCCAUGUGAACUGUAGCCUACUUCCUCCUAUGUUCACAUAUUUUCUCUUAUUUAGGGCCAGUUGCUCUUGCAUUGGCCCCUAUGGAGCCGUCCUCUUUUAUGCCACCUACUGUCAAGACUGUUGGUGAGUGUUUUGUUUCAGUUUCUGUUUCAUCUGUGUGGUGCAGACAACAUUAUCAUCAUCAAUCUCACUGGUUCCCAAUUUGAGGUCAGGGGCCCUCCAGGGGUCCUCCAAGAUGUUUUUUUUUGGGGGGGGGGGCGAUGUUCCAGCAAAAAUGAGACACUGAACUUGGUUUUAGAACAAAAUGGAUUACAAUAUAGUAAUGUGCCCACCCCUUUAAAUUAGGUAAUGAAAACCUAAUCAAUUGUAUCCAUACAUUAUAUGGUUGUAAAAAGUAACCCUCAAGUGAGAAGUAAAGUUUCUAUUCAAAUCA